CUUCUCUUCGUCUAAUGGUAGGACAGGUGGCUGUAAAUGUCUUGCGGUUACCACCAUAUGCCGGUUCGAUUCCAGCAGAGAAGA